GCACAAGCGGUGGAGCAUGUGGUUUAAUUCGACGCAACGCGAAGAACCUUACCUGGGCUCGAAAUGUAGUGGAAUCCGGCAGAAACGUCGGCGUCUAGCAAUAGACCGCUAUAUAGGUGCUGCAUGGCUGUCGUCAGCUCGUGUCGUGAGAUGUUGGGUUAAGUCCCGCAACGAGCGCAACCCUUAUCUUCAGUUGCUACCAUUUAGUUGAGCACUCUGACGAAACCGCCUCGGAUAACGGGGAGGAAGGUGGGGAUGACGUCAAGUCCUCAUGGCCUUUAUGCCCAGGGCUACACACGUGCUACAAUGGGAGAGACAAAGGGCAGCUACCUAGCGAUAGGACGCUAAUCCCAAAAACUCUUUCUCAGUUCAGAUUGCAGUCUGCAACUCGACUGCAUGAAGCUGGAAUCGCUAGUAAUCGUAUAUCAGCAAUGAUACGGUGAAUACGUUCCCGGGC
rnacentral:rRNA from 1 species